GACGAACGCUGGCGGCGUGCCUAAUACAUGCAAGUCGAACGCAGAGGGGACGGGUGAGUAACACGUGGGUAACCUACACACAGAGGGGAUAACACUUGGAAACAGGGGAUAAACCGAUACGCAUGUAAGGACCAGCGGUGCAUGAGAGAGUUGGUGAGGUAACGGCUCACCAAGGCCAGGAGGCAUAGCCGCCCUGAGAGGGUGAUCGGCCACAGUGCGACUGAGACACGGCCCAUGCUCCGUCGGGAGGCAGCAGUAGGGAAUCUGCGGCAAUGGACGAAAGUCUGACCGAGCAACGCCGCGUGAGUGAAGAAGGUUUUCGGAUCGUGAAACUCUGUUGUUAGAGAAGCGGUAUCUAACCAGAAAGCCACGGCUAACUACGUGCCAGCAGCCGCGGUAAUAC
rnacentral:rRNA from 1 species